GACGAACGCUGGCGGCGUGCUUAACACAUGCAAGUCGAACGGAAAGGCCCUGCUUUUGUGGGGUGCUCGAGUGGCGAACGGGUGAGUAACACGUGAGUAACCUGCCCUUGACUUUGGUAUAACUUCAGGAAACUGUGGCUAAUACCGGAUAGGAGCUCCUGCUGCAUGGUGGGGGUUGGAAAGUUUCGGCGGUUGGGGAUGGACUCGCGGCUUAUCAGCUUGUUGGUGGGGUAGUGGCUUACCAAGGCUUUGACGGGUAGCCGGCCUGAGAGGGUGACAGGCCACAUUGGGACUGAGAUACGGCCAAGACUCAUACGGGAGGCAGCAGUGGGGAAUAUUGCAAAAUGGGCGGAAGCCUGAUGCAGCAACGCCGCGUGCGGGAUGACGGCCUUAGGGUUGUAAACCGCUUUCGCCUGUGACGAAGCGUGAGUGACGGUAAUGGGUAAAGAAGCACCGGCUAACUACGUG
rnacentral:rRNA from 1 species